rnacentral:snoRNA from 1 species
GCCUCUGUGAUGAGAACCUUCAUCACAGACCUGUGCUGAAUUUUGUGAGGAU